rnacentral:rRNA from 1 species
UACGUAGGGUGCAAGCGUUGUCCGGAUUUAUUGGGCGUAAAGAGCGUGUAGGCGGCCUGGUAGGUCAGCUGUGAAAACUCGAGGCUCAACCUCGAGACGCCGGUUGAAACCAUCAGGCUAGAGUCCGGAAGAGGAGAGUGGAAUUCCCGGUGUAGCGGUGAAAUGCGCAGAUAUCAGGAAGAACACCAAUGGCGAAGGCAGCUCGCUGGGACGGUAUUGACGCUGAGACGCGAAAGCGUGGGGAGCAACAGG